AACGAACGCUGGCGGCAUGCCUAACACAUGCAAGUCGAACGAGACCUUCGGGUCUAGUGGCGCACGGGUGCGUAACGCGUGGGAACCUGCCCUUAGGUUCGGAAUAACUCCCCGAAAGGGGUGCUAAUACCGGAUAGUGUCUUCGGACCAAAGAUUUAUCGCCUUUGGAUGGGCCCGCGUUGGAUUAGCUAGUUUGUAGGGUAAAAGCCUACCAAGGCGACGAUCCAUAGCUGGUCUGAGAGGAUGAUCAGCCACACUGGGACUGAGACACGGCCCAGACUCCUACGGGAGGCAGCAGUGGGGAAUAUUGGACAAUGGGCGAAAGCCUGAUCCAGCAAUGCCGCGUGAGUGAUGAAGGCCUUAGGGUUGUAAAGCUCUUUUACCCGGGAUGAUAAUGACAGUACCGGGAGAAUAAGCUCCGGCUAACUCCGUG
rnacentral:rRNA from 1 species